rnacentral:misc_RNA from 1 species
GAAAUCGUAGUUCCGUAAGGAGGCCGAACCCAGUGGUAGCGACAUGGGUUCUCCCAAGCGAACCCAUUUGUAUAUAAGCGUCGCAAUAUGUAAGUUUACACUUUGUGGUGAAAUGUGUUUGUUUGUACAAGCCGAUCUUGACUCGGUGUCAAAGCGGAAAUCGUAGUUCCGUAAGGAGGCCGAACCCAGUGGUAGCGACAUGGGCUCUCCCAAGCGAACCCAUUUGUAUAUAAGCGUCGCAAUAUUGAAUAUUUUAUACCUGAUAUGCGGGACAACGUUCGUGUGGUCGUCUCCGGUGUUGGUGAAGUUGACCCUAACUGACACCGAGGGCAGCACCGUCGCCUCCAUGCUGUCUCUGGGCAGCGUGCUGGGGCCCUUCGUGUCCGGUGCCGUCCUCGACUCCCUGGGCCGCAAGUACACCGUGGGCCUCGCCAUGGCGCUGGAGACGGCGUCCUACCUCACUCUAGCCGAGGGCAGCGGAGUCAUCGUCUUGUCUGUGGGCAGGUUUCUGGGAGGUGUGGCCUGCGGCAUGGCCUUCUCUGCUUUGCCAAUGUACAUCGCUGAAAUUUCUGAGGAUUCAGCUCGGGGGUUUCUGAACACCCUUAACCAGAUCUCAGUGAACUUUGGGUCUCUCCUGAUGUACUCUCUAGGACCCUACAUCAGUUACGCUGACCUUCACUACAUCAUGCUCGGUAUCUGCGGCGUCUUCUUCUUACUGUUCCCUCUUCUUCCUCAGUCUCCUUACUCGCUCCUCAAGAAGAACAAAGUCUGUGAAGCCAGAGACACCCUGUUGUGGCUGAGAGAGGGUAGUGCUGUUUCCCAAGUUGAGAGGGAGCUGCUGGUAAUACAGGACAUGAUACAGGAGAGUAAAGGCCAGUCAGGAUCUGUAGCAGAACUGUUCACGUCAAGAGGAAAUCGACGAGCUCUGACGAUAUGUGCGACUCUGCUGGUGUUCCAACAAAUUACUGGAGUUUCGGUGCUGGUAUUUUAUACGGAGAAGAUCUUCCAGAUGACUGGAACCAGCUUGUCCAGCAGUUUUAUGCUCUAUAACUAUCGGAGUUAUUACCACGGUCUCUAGUUUCAUAACGCCUGUCGCUGUGAAACAUUUGGGAUACAAGAAACCGUUGUUGAUAUCUGCAACAGGCAUGGGAAUAGGCAUGGGAGGACUUGGAAUAUUUUUUCUGCUGAAGAGUAAUCAGUUUGACCUGGACUCCCUGAAAUGGAUGCCUCUUCUCAGUGUUGUUUCUUACGGAUUGUUCUUUAAUACAG